UACGGGGGGGGCAAGCGUUGUUCGGAAUUACUGGGCGUAAAGGGUUCGUAGGUGGCCGACUAAGUCAGACGUGAAAUCCCUCAGCUCAACUGGGGAACUGCGUCUGAGACUGGCCGGCUUGAGUGCAGGAGAGGAACGCGGAAUUCCAGGUGUAGCGGUGAAAUGCGUAGAUAUCUGGAGGAACACCGGUGGCGAAGGCGGCGUUCUGGACUGCUACUGACGCUGAGUGAGCGAAAGCCAGGGGAGCAAACGGG
rnacentral:rRNA from 1 species